CUGACACAGGUGGCUGCAUGGCUGUCGUCAGCUCGUGUCGUGAGAUGUUGGGUUAAGUCCGUAACGAGCGCAACCCUUGUCCUUAGUUACCAGCACGUUAUGGUGGGCACUCUAAGGAGACUGCCGGUGACAAACCGGAGGAAGGUGGGGAGUGACGUCAAGUCAUCAUGGCCCUUACGGCCUGGGCUACACACGUGCUACAAUGGUCGGUACAAAGGGUUGCCAAGCCGCGAGGUGGAGCUAAUCCCAUAAAAACCGAUCGUAGUCCGGAUCGCAGUCUGCAACUCGACUGCGUGAAGUCGGAAUCGCUAGUAAUCGUGAAUCAGAAUGUCACGGUGAAUACGUUCCCGGGCCUU
rnacentral:rRNA from 1 species